GAUGAACGCUAGCGGCAGGCCUAAUACAUGCAAGUCGGACGGGAUUUGGGAGCUUGCUCCUAAUGAGGGUGGCGCACGGGUGCGUAACACGUAUGUAACCUACCUUAAUCAGGGGGAUAGCCUCUCGAAAGAGAGAUUGACACCGCAUAAUAUAUUUUUAUGGCAUCGUAGAAAUAUCAAAUAUUUAUAGGAUUAAGAUGGGCAUGCGGAACAUUAGCUAGUUGGUAAGGUAACGGCUUACCAAGGCUAAGAUGUUUAGGGGAUCUGAGAGGAUGACCCCCCACACUGGUACUGAGACACGGACCAGACUCCUACGGGAGGCAGCAGUAAGGAAUAUUGGUCAGUGGGCGCAAGCCUGAACCAGCCAUGCCGCGUGCAGGAAGACGGCCCUAUGGGUUGUAAACUGCUUUUGUACCGGAAUAAACCCUUUUACGUGUAGAAGGCUGAAUGUACGGUAAGAAUAAGGAUCGGCUAACUCCGUGCCAGCCGCCGCUGUAACAC
rnacentral:rRNA from 1 species